rnacentral:tRNA from 1 species
GCCGGUGUGGCGAAAUUGGUAGACGCACCCGCUUUGGAAGCGGGUUGGGGCAGGUAGUUUGGAAGGCCCACCACCCCUGCGGGUUCAAAUCCCGUCACCGGCA